rnacentral:rRNA from 1 species
GAGUUUGAUCGUGGCUCAGAUUGAACGCUGGCGGCAUGCCUUACACAUGCAAGUCGAACGGCAGCACGGGAGCUUGCUCCUGGUGGCGAGUGGCGAACGGGUGAGUAAUGCAUCGGAACGUAUCCUGGAGUGGGGGAUAACGUAGCGAAAGUUACGCUAAUACCGCAUAUUCUGUGAGCAGGAAAGCGGGGGACCUUCGGGCCUCGCGCUCUUGGAGCGGCCGAUGUCGGAUUAGCUAGUUGGUGAGGUAAAGGCUCACCAAGGCGACGAUCCGUAGCAGGUCUGAGAGGAUGAUCUGCCACACUGGAACUGAGACACGGUCCAGACUCCUACGGGAGGCAGCAGUGGGAAUUUUGGACAAUGGGGCAACCCUGAUCCAGCCAUGCCGCGUGAGUGAAG